CGGAGCAGUUCUAGGGACCCUAUCGAAUUGGUGCGUGUCGCCCCUCUCCCCUGCUCCCGUCCCAGCACCGCGCCGCGGCAGCCCUCACCGGCGUCACUGCGCGCUCCAGCUCGCUGCCCGACCACGACCCGCUCGCCUUCUACUGCCUCUCGGGCCUCGUCGACCCCCUUCCUCCCGUCCCCGGCCCUCCUUGCCGUCGCUCGCCUUCCUCUCCGAAACUCCGACCCGACCAGCACCUCCUCCUCCUACUCCUCCCCGCUGCCCUCCUACGGCGGCGCGCUUCGACGGCCAGGUCAGGAAGCCCGUGGCCGGCGCCUCCUCCCGCCUCCUCUCCCUCCCCGCCGGCUUCCGCGUCGACCGCGACGCCUCGAGGUGCUCAGGUUGUCGUCUCUGUACAGGAGCCGGAGCAAGGGAAGGUGCUUGGCCCCGCGCAGUACUUGGUUGGGGAUGGAGGCUCCGUUCAACGCCGCGCACGAGGCAAUGUGCCGCUCGGUGGCUAUGCCUAUGCGGGAGUCCAUUGGCAGCAACAAUGAGUGAACCGAUGUGGUUGCUUCUUCCAAUGGCCGCUGGAUCAAGUUAAACGAUCACGGACGAGUGGACGAGCUCCACUCUGAUUUAAGUCAGCGAAGCAUCCAAAGAUGAGGACUUGUUCCAUUCUGAUUACCCCCGGGCUGUUGCGGUGUUGGACGUUUUGUACCUGAAUGAAGUACCUUGUUUGACGCUGGUGUUCACAGUGCUUCCUGUUGGCUUUGUAAAAACUGUGCUGUAUAUAAACAAGAAAUGGCAAAAGGAGAGAGAGCCACCUAGAGCUGAA